rnacentral:SRP_RNA from 1 species
UAAAAGUUCAAUAAAAAGCUAUGAACCUUGUCAGGUCCGGAAGGAAGCAGCAAUAAGUAGUGUAUUUAUGUGAAUAUUUAUUC